GUACAUUGUAGUCCACAAAAAGAAAAACAUAAUUACCAACCAUGAGCAAAAAUAAAAACAUACCAGAUAAAGUUCAUAAACUGGGUCACUGAAGGGGGUCCUAGACUGGUUCACACUAGGACAGGACACCUAAGGCUUAGAAGAGUUGUAGGGUUGGGUUUGUAGCAGAUUGAGCAUUUGUUGGAGCAUUCCUUUAUGUUUCUCCUUCUCCUUUGCAAGUUCAGCUCUCAACACAUUCCUUUCUCCCUCCAAUUCAUCAAUUCUGGCAUGAAGCCUUGCUAUCUCAGCAUCCUUUGUCCCAACCUCCUGAACCAAGGCUCUGACCUUGUUGUUCACAGUUGUCUUCACAGAUGACUUGGGUUCAACUGGGCCUGUACUGAGCAAAUAAUCACAAGCUUGAAGGGUGUUGAUGCCAAAGUGCUCUUUGCUGGAAGUCAUUUCCAACUUCUUCAACAGAACAUCCAGUCUUUCAAGAAGAGUUGUCAAGAUAAAUCCAUAGGGAAUGGAAUGAGCCUUUGAGCACCCUUUCAAGCAGCUUCACAAUGAAGGCGGGCCAGUUGAUCUGCUUCCCUUCAUUCAUGCAUUGCAUGAGAACCAGAUCCAUGUAAUUUGUUGUAUGCCUUCUCUCCUGUCUGGGCAGAAGGCAUUUGUUGAAACCUUGAAGAGCACUUUAUGCUCUGGCCUCCUUUCACUUUUCUAAACUGCCCUGGCCUCAGGAACCUCCUCAUCUGAUUUGGGGUCGCAAAAAUUCCUACUGAUCUGAAUAUCAGUAGGCAGUCCAUUCAAACAUUGCCACCUCUUUCUUGUAUAGUCAUCAUAUCCCUCACUAGAGAUGUCCAGAAUCUUACCAGCUUGGCAGCAUUGAACUUCACUUUUACUCCUUUCACGAUGCUAGUCACCAGUCCAUGUUUCACUGUCCCAUUUGCCAUGAACUCAACCAGUUAUUUCCUGGCCAAUUUUCCAUCCUUCUGAAGGACCAUGUCCUUCCAUCCCAAUGCUUCUAGUGCAGUCACAAGUCUCAUCAUAUCUGGGUCCUCCAUGUCUUUGAGCAGUCUUCCUUUCAAGAUCUUUCUUCUGCCAAACAUGGCAUACCUGUUCUGUUCCUUUUCUCACUCAUCCUCUUCUUCUUCACUCUAAUCUUCUUCCUCUUCUUCAGCUAUUUUUACUUGUUUUCCUUUUGCUGCUGACCUAGUUCUCUUGGUAAGAGAAGGUUCAGCAGGUAUUGUCUUGGAGGGCUUCUAGGCAUAAGUCUUGGUUCCCUUUGAUUUGGCAGUGGGAACAUCCACAGUAGUACCCCUUUCUUGAUGGACCAGUUACAUCUCUUCUUCCUCCUCUUCUUCCACAGCCUCAUAACUUUCACCUAAUUUUACUUUCCCCUUUUCUUUCCUCUUUUUCUUACUUUCUUCUAAAUAUUUCUUCAACUCUGCUUCACUCUCCUUAACCUACUUCUAGUGGCUCUAACCCUAGUAGCAGACUUGGGGUAUGAAGGUUUGAUUUUCUUGGUUGGUUUGGACGCAGUAGGGGUCCUUUGUGAGGAACCCUUGCAUUUUUUUGGGUUAUAAGCGGGCCCCACCUUCUUCAGUAAAUCACCCAAGAUCUCCUCUCCAAAUGAACCAGGUUCAUCUUGUUGUUUGCUCAGAUUAAGCAAACCCUUAGCUUCUUCUCCUGAUCCACUUCCCCCUGACUUCGAGACUCCCUCUUCCACACUCACACAUAUAGCUAAAACCUCCUUCUUCUUUUUCUUCCUCAUUUUCCAUAAUUAUCCGCAACAAUAUCUUUUGCAACCCCUAUCAGAACAUACCUAUUUUCCUCCCUUUAAACUACAUCAGGAAAAAACAAAGCAUGUAUUCACCUCUCAUGGGGAUUCUUGACGUUUGGCAGUGUCAGAAGACCCAAGUUCAUCUCCUUCACGGGCAGAGAUGUAGUCAUCGGAUUCAGAGCUAGACUUGGUCUCUUUAGCUGAGACUUGUUUCUUUUGACCAGACUCUAAUUUUUCAUUCAAAGUCUUCCACAGGGAACCAGUAGCUACAGUUUUUCUUGCUAGGAUUUUCUGGCAACGGAAUCUUGGUUUUGGGGUUUCAACAGGUGGUGUGGAAGAUGAGGAGAUGUUGGUGAAACAGGUGGUGGAGUUCCAGGAUUGUCUUGCGGAUUUGUCAUGAUGGAAAAUUUCUGGACUUCUUAGGAGAAUUUUGGAGAGCUUUUGGAGACUUUUUGGAGGCGAGAGUGUAUGAUCAGGG
rnacentral:lncRNA from 1 species